rnacentral:rRNA from 1 species
GAUGAACGCUAGCUACAGGCUUAACACAUGCAAGUCGAGGGGUAACAAGAGAAAAGCUUGCCUUUCUUGUUGACGACCGGCGCACGGGUGAGUAACGCGUAUCCAACCUGCCUAUAACUAGGGAAUAACCUUGCGAAAGUAAGACUAAUGCCCUAUGACUUCCUUUGAUGACAUCAGAUUAGGAAUAAAGAUUUAUCGGUUAUAGAUGGGGAUGCGUCUGAUUAGCUUGUUGGCGGGGUAACGGCCCACCAAGGCAACGAUCAGUAGGGGUUCUGAGAGGAAGGUCCCCCACAUUGGAACUGAGACACGGUCCCAACUCCUACGGGAGGCAGCAGUGAGGAAUAUUGGUCAAUGGGCGGAAGCCUGAACCAGCCAAGUAGCGUGCAGGAUGACGGCCCUAUGGGUUGUAAACUGCUUUUAUACAGGGACAAAGUUAGCCACGUGUGGUUAUUUGCAGGUACUGUAUGAAUAAGGACCGGCUAAUUCCGUGCCAGCAGCCGCAGUAA